GAUGAAGAACGCAGCGAAAUGCGAUACGUAAUGUGAAUUGCAGAAUUCAGUGAAUCAUCGAAUCUUUGAACGCAUAUUGCGCUCUUUGGUAUUCCGAAGAGCAUGCUUGUUUGAGUAUCAGUAAACACCUCAAAGCUUUUGGAUUUUUUAAUCGAAAAGCUUUGGACUUGAGCAAUCCCAACACCAAUCUUUUUGAGAUCGGUGGCGGGUUGCUUGAAAUGCGGGUGCAGCUGGACAUUCUCCUGAGCUAAAAGCAUAUUCAUUUAGUCCCGUCAAACGGAUUAUUACUUUUGCUGCAGCUAACAUAAAGGGAGUUUGACCGUAUUGGCUGACUGAUGCAGGAUUUCACAAGGGUCGGCAACGAUUCUUGUUAAACUCGAUCUCAAAUCAAGUAAGACUACCCGCUGAACUUAAGCAUAUCAAUAAGCGGAGGA
rnacentral:misc_RNA from 1 species